GACGAACGCUGGCGGCGUGCUUAACACAUGCAAGUCGAACGAAAAGGCCAUGCGUAUGUGGUGUGCUCGAGUGGCGAACGGGUGAGUAACACGUGGGUAACCUGCCCUUGACUUUGGGAUAACUACAGGAAACUGGGGCUAGUACACGAUAGGAGCUCCUGCUGCAGGGUAGGGCAUGGCAAGAUUCGGCGGUGUGGGCUGGACUCGCGGCAUAUCAGCUUGCGGGUGGGGUAGUGGCUGACCAAGGCAUGGACGGGUAGGCGGCCUGACAGGGUGACCGGCCACAUUGCGUCUGAGCUACGGCACAGCCUCCUCCGGGACGCGGCAGUGCGGAGUGUUGCACUGUGGGCGGAAGCCUAAUGCAGCAACGCCGCGUGCGGGAUGUCGACCUUCGGGUCGGAAUCCGCUUCCGCCUGUGACGAAGCGUGAGUGACGGUACUGGGUAAAGAAGCCCCGGCUAACUACGUG
rnacentral:rRNA from 1 species